ensembl:lncRNA
AAAAGGAUCACUGUGUAUCACACUUUUAAAUUCCAAAACACAAAUAAUGAAACAAGAUGCUAUGCUGAGACUCAGCGUGCCAGUCUCCCUGGUCUGGCAACUUCGAACUCAGGAAGAGGCCCCGUGGAAAGAGGAUUAGUUUAUACGGACCUUCCUGCUCUCUAAAAUCACCUUUGUUUAGCUGUAAUACCCUAGGGGCAAAAGCUGCGCCCAACGUGGGGCUCGAACCCACGACCCUGAGAUUAAGAGUCUCAUGCUCUACCGACUGAGCUAGCCGGGCUGAUGCAAAGAGGAAACUACAAUUCUCCUGAACUUCGCUGAACCUAAAACUGGUUACAGAUUCGUGAGGGUUUCCUGCAGCCGAGCCCAGACCAGGAAGGACCCGGAGAAGCUCGAGGGUCACCCGGGACCGGCCGGCUGGGAGGAUCUGGCUGCGAUUCUCAGCCCGGGAUCCGAAGGCGGAGCCGCGGUCUCAGGCCUCCAAGGACAGACACCAGAAAUCGCUACAGCACCGGCUCGUUGGUCUAGGGACAUCGGCUAGUUUUCGGUUUGAAGACUCCGGAUCUCUGCGGAGUCCUGAGCAACGGAAUCGUUCCCGCCGGCCGCGAUCCGAUCGUCCGCGCUCGGUUCUGUUCUGCCAAGCGGCCGUCACUGCGCUGGGUCGCAGCAGGGGCGGCGGCCCUCGAGCCCUGGGCCUGGCCCUGGGGGAGGAGACCGAGGUGGCUCAGUCUCGGCUCUCGGGAGGCCAGACGGCCACUGGGCUGGGUGAUGAUCGGCCUGGGCGAUGAUGUGACUUGCUGCGUGUGUUUAUACUCUGGGUAAUAAACUCAAAUUUUAUGACCCAAGUAAAGGACAAGCCCACGUUUCAAUGUCUUUCCUAUUUGAGGGGCUGCCCAAAGGGUCUUCCACGACCCAGGGAAGGAAGGAAAGGCAGAGGAGACUGCGCGUGGGGCCGCAGACCACUAGUCUCCACGGGGUCCAGGGGGCCGUGCUCCAGACACGGGGUCUCCUCUCCCCCUAGAAGAACCGCGGUGUUUUCAUAGGUUUUAUUAUUAUUUUCUGAGGCCAACUGGUCCAGCCACUGAGAAGGCUUAUUACAGUUUCCAAGAGGAGGUGGCACGGCUCCGCGUGGGGAGGAGGGACGGGACGCACCAGCGUCGGAAGGGAGAAGAAAAUGAAGGCAAGAGACUUUCUCGUGGUUUCAGGGAAGGUGAAACAGGGAAGGCAGGGAAGACAGGCCGAAAUGGCUGGCUGAAAUAAGUUCAGUGGGCUCGGGGGUACAGGUGCUGUCCCUGGUUGUCUGUCUCCUGGCCUUGAGGUGAUUCUGCAGGUGGAUUGUGGCCCAGAGGGUGAGAGUUUGAUAAAAACAGGUGAUCGUCGGCUGUGGACCCUGGAUUGGUUGGUUUAUCUUUGAAAAAUGCCUGCUGACAGAGAAAUUGCUUGCUAUCUCGAACAAUUGACCAGAUCCAUGGGUCUGGAAGACCCCCUGGAGUAGGAAAUGGGAACCCACUCCAAUAUUCUUGCCUGGAAAAUUUCCAUGGGCAGAGGAGCCUGGCGAACUACAGUCCAUGCGGUCGCAAAGAGUCUGACAGGACUGCAAAACCGAGCACCAUUGACCAGGAGGAAGGUUCAAGAGGGAGGGGACAUAUUCACUUACGGCCGAUUCACGUUGAUGAAUGGCAGAAACCAACACAAUACUGUAAAUCAAUU